CGUGUGCUUACAAGUAGUCAGAGCCCGUUAAUGGGUGAUGGCGUGCCUUUUGUAGAAUGAACCGGCGAGUUACGAUUUGAUGCAAGGUUAAGCAGUAAAUGUGGAGCCGUAGCGAAAGCGAGUCUGAAUAGGGCGUUUAGUAUUUGGUCGUAGACCCGAAACCAGGUGAUCUACCCUUGGUCAGGUUGAAGUUCAGGUAACACUGAAUGGAGGACCGAACCGACUUACGUUGAAAAGUGAGCGGAUGAACUGAGGGUAGCGGAGAAAUUCCAAUCGAACCUGGAGAUAGCUGGUUCUCUCCGAAAUAGCUUUAGGGCUAGCCUCAAGUGAUGAUUAUUGGAGGUAGAGCACUGUUUGGACGAGGGGCCCCUCUCGGGUUACCGAAUUCAGACAAACUCCGAAUGCCAAUUAAUUUAACUUGGGAGUCAGAACAUGGGUGAUAAGGUCCGUGUUCGAAAGGGAAACAGCCCAGACCACCAGCUAAGGUCCCAAAAUAUAUGUUAAGUGGAAAAGGAUGUGGCGUUGCCCAGACAACUAGGAUGUUGGCUUAGAAGCAGCCAUCAUUUAAAGAGUGCGUAAUAGCUCACUAGUCGAGUGACACUGCGCCGAAAAUGUACCGGGGCUAAACAUAUUACCGAAGCUGUGGAUUGUCCUUUGGACAAUGGUAGGAGAGCGUUCUAAGGGCGUUGAAGCAUGAUCGUAAGGACAUGUGGAGCGCUUAGAAGUGAGAAUGCCGGUGUGAGUAGCGAAAGACGGGUGAGAAUCCCGUCCACCGAUUGACUAAGGUUUCCAGAGGAAGGCUCGUCCGCUCUGGGUUAGUCGGGUCCUAAGCUGAGGCCGACAGGCGUAGGCGAUGGAUAACAGGUUGAUAUUCCUGUACCACCUAUAAUCGUUUUAAUCGAUGGGGGGACGCAGUAGGAUAGGCGAAGCGUGCGAUUGGAUUGCACGUCUAAGCAGUAAGGCUGAGUAUUAGGCAAAUCCGGUACUC
rnacentral:rRNA from 1 species